AUCUGGGCGGCGGAAUUCAGGAUGGCCGGGCGAGUUUCGCGCUCGUCCGGCCGUUUGAUAUUUCCGUCGCCGUGUCGGACGUCGCGACCUGUUCGUCGUCGGUCCUUGCUCGGAGGAAUUGCGAUCGAGUUCGCAGCGCGAUGCGUUUCGGCGUGUCGUGCGGCGAAGACGCGACUCUCUGGCCGACGACAGACAGUAAGCAACGGUGUCCGACGCCGUGUCUCGCACUCGGCGCCGGUGCCGGUCUGCGACGAUUUCUUCGGGCCUCUUUCCGACCCGUCUUGAAACACGGACCAAGGAGUCUAACAUGCGCGCGAGUCGCGGGGUUUCGAGUGCGCUACGGCGCGCUCGUCACUUGCGAAACCCGUACGUGGAAGGCGUAAUGAAAGUGAACAGGGAAGAUGGCGUUCCGAGUCCACGUACCGUGAUCGAGUGUCGCGGCCGGACGUCCGCACUCCCGGGGCGUCUCAAUGGUUCGUCGCGGACGCGGACGGUCGUCUCUCGGGGCGAUGGUCGGUCUGCGUCGGACCGA
rnacentral:rRNA from 1 species